UACGGGGGGGGCAAGCGUUGUUCGGAAUUACUGGGCGUAAAGGGCUCGUAGGUGGCCAACUAAGUCAGACGUGAAAUCCCUCGGCUUAACCGGGGAACUGCGUCUGAUACUGGAUGGCUUGAGUUCGGGAGAGGGAGGCGGAAUUCCAGGUGUAGCGGUGAAAUGCGUAGAUAUCUGGAGGAACACCGGUGGCGAAGGCGGCAGCCUGGACCGACACUGACGCUGAGGCACGAAAGCGUGGGGAGCAAACAGG
rnacentral:rRNA from 1 species